rnacentral:rRNA from 1 species
UACGUAGGGUGCAAGCGUUGUCCGGAAUUAUUGGGCGUAAAGAGCUCGUAGGCGGUUUGUUGCGUCGGCUGUGAAAUCCCGAGGCUCAACCUCGGGUCUGCAGUCGAUACGAGCAAACUAGAGUGUUGCAGGGGAGACUGGAAUUCCUGGUGAUAGCGGUGAAAUGCGCAGAUAUCAGGAGGAACACCGGUGGCGAAGGCGGGUCUCUGGGCAACAACUGACGCUGAGGAGCGAAAGCGUGGGAGCGAACAGG